CAGCAGAAAUCAUCACCUGAAGUCUGGAAGCAGACUGUGGAUGAGAGUGACAGACCUCAGCUGUUAUCUGGUCCUGUGGAUACAUCUCCAAUGGAAGAUAAGAUCAACUGCAACAGCAGCAGUCCAGGGGCAAAUACCAGCCACUUUUCAUCUUUCAAUUGUCGAAUGGCAAAACUGAGAAGGCACCAUGAGGAAUGCUUCAAUCGACAUAAAAUUGCAGAGGAGCAGCGAAAUGCUAAAGAUAGACAACAUACCACGAUUCUGUUAAA